CUAAGGGAGGAAACAAAUGGCCUGUAGCCCGAAUUAAAAAUUUUUGGUCCAAAGCAGAACAAGCAUCUUUUUGGCCGUUACACAUACCGUUUUGUUCACCAUCAACAAGAAAAGAGAUUCCACUAGAUGGCAACAACGAUAAGAAAAUGCAAGAAAAGGAAUGAGAUUAAUAUUUAGAUAUCUUUUUCUUCACCAUCAAAUCUUAUGUGCAAUUUCUGAAUUUAGACGGAAAGCGCAGACCUAAAUAUCAAAGAUAUGUAUGAAAAGGGGGAAAUAUGUGGUAUAGUUUCUGGAUUCAGGAUGGCAAAAAUGAGCUACAAUUGUGAAAUUUCUCAG